rnacentral:tRNA from 1 species
GCCGGGGUUGUCUGUUGGUAGGGACUCCCUGCUGAAGACAGGGCGGCGUUCCGAACGCCACGUGGGUUCGAAUCCCAUCCCCGGCG